AAGUGGAAGAAAAAGAACAAGUCAUAACUCAUAAAAUGAAAUAUAAGAAAAGGUCAUUUAUCAUGUGACAUAAGUAGAAGAUACCAAAAUAGCCGAGAUACAUAUGCGUUGCUGGAUGCCAUGGCCAAAAAGGUUCUUUGGCCAUCUGGGUGGUAGAGGAAUAUGACAGGACAAAUAUUGUUCUGGACGAUGUGUGUGUGAACGCAUGUAGUUGUGAAAAUAAUAUGCGAGGGAGAGGUUGAAAGUUUUGGAAAUCGAUUCAGUUUUCAGCCAUGCGAAAAUAUUGAUUUUAUAGAAUACCAGCUGGACAGGUUCCGCUCCGCCGGGCCUUCUUCUACAACAUAUGGAACAAAAUUAUCCUUUGAAUAUUUAUUUUUGACAAUUAAAGAGCUUUUAGUGAAAUACCAUGCUACGACAACAGUA